rnacentral:rRNA from 1 species
CGGGAAACGAGUUAUCUGAACCUUCGGGGAACGAUAACGGCGUCGAGCGGCGGACGGGUGAGUAAUGCCUAGGAAAUUGCCCUGAUGUGGGGGAUAACCAUUGGAAACGAUGGCUAAUACCGCAUAAUGCCUACGGGCCAAAGAGGGGGACCUUCGGGCCUCUCGCGUCAGGAUAUGCCUAGGUGGGAUUAGCUAGUUGGUGAGGUAAUGGCUCACCAAGGCGACGAUCCCUAGCUGGUCUGAGAGGAUGAUCAGCCACACUGGAACUGAGACACGGUCCAGACUCCUACGGGAGGCAGCAGUGGGGAAUAUUGCACAAUGGGCGCAAGCCUGAUGCAGCCAUGCCGCGUGUGUGAAGAAGGCCUUCGGGUUGUAAAGCACUUUCAGUCGUGAGGAAGGUGGUAGUGUUAAUAGCACUAUCAUUUGACGUUAGCGACAGAAGAAGCACCGGCUAACUCCGUGCCAGCAGCCGCGGUAAUACGGAGGGUGCGAGCGUUAAUCGGAAUUACUGGGCGUAAAGCGCAUGCAGGUGGUUUGUUAAGUCAGAUGUGAAAGCCCGGGGCUCAACCUCGGAAUAGCAUUUGAAACUGGCAGACUAGAGUACUGUAGAGGGGGGUAGAAUUUCAGGUGUAGCGGUGAAAUGCGUAGAGAUCUGAAGGAAUACCGGUGGCGAAGGCGGCCCCCUGGACAGAUACUGACACUCAGAUGCGAAAGCGUGGGGAGCAAACAGGAUUAGAUACCCUGGUAGUCCACGCCGUAAACGAUGUCUACUUGGAGGUUGUGGCCUUGAGCCGUGGCUUUCGGAGCUAACGCGUUAAGUAGACCGCCUGGGGAGUACGGUCGCAAGAUUAAAACUCAAAUGAAUUGACGGGGGCCCGCACAAGCGGUGGAGCAUGUGGUUUAAUUCGAUGCAACGCGAAGAACCUUACCUACUCUUGACAUCCAGAGAACUUUCCAGAAAUGGAUUGGUGCCUUCGGGAACUCUUAAAAAAGUGCUGCAG